AGUCGUGAUGACUGUUUCCCUUUUCUUGAAUACAGCUCAUUUGGUUCAAUUUAAAAGGAAGAGGUCCAUGCGGCAACUGUCUAAUUAGGCCACAUUCAUUUGGAUAGCCAAGAUCUGUUAGAGCUUUUCUUGCCUGUCCUCAACAAGAGCCAAGCGUCUCCACAUCAGGGAGUGUAACACAGCAGCCAACCUGAAGCCAAUGACAGGUCUCUGAAGGUGUGUAAUUUUAUAAAGCUCUUAAUUACUUGUUUCUACAAUGGUUUACAAAUAACAUUAAAAACCUUUUGAAUAACAGGUCUUCAGUUUUGUAGAAUUUUAUCCUGUUUUAACUUAUUCAGUACAGUACAAGUACAGUUGCCACCGCUUAGAUCGAGCACAUUUGUGUUAACAUGAUACGCCCACAAUACGCCAUGGACGGUAUAAGCAUGGAGCACCUCAUUCAAACUGUCCCCCGAGCACCAGUACAGUAAACAAAACAAACAAACAAGCGUGCAUGCUGAGAGAAUUCUUCCUCUGACAUCCCAUCUGGUGUUGUCAGAAUAUCAGUUUCUGUCAUAUUUUUGUCAGCACUGUCCUCCUCAAUGACAGAAAACUCAGCUUUCUUGAAGCAACGGUGGAUUGUUUGCUGACUGACAGAGUCCCAAGCUUGCUUCAGCAGGCGCACAGCAACUAACACAGACGUUUUUUUUACGCACUGCAUUAUAUUCCAGUUCUUCAAGAACUCUGUCUCUCGACCAUUCAAAAUGUAAACCCAACAUUGCAUACAGGGAGUAAAUAGCCAAGGUACAGUACACGGGUAAUCGUUCAGUAACGAGGUGUGAACAGCUGAUUGAUCGAUCUGUCAGAGCGUUUACUACAGUGUGAGCAGUGCAUGUGUUAUUUAAAUCUGUGUGAACGGCAUGUAACAAGAUCCAAACAGAUGAGUUUGCCCAAAAUAGCCAGGGUGCUUAACACGGUAUAAACAAUGCCUUUGUUAUUGAAAUCAAUGAGAAAGAAAUGCUAUUUGCCUGAUAUAAAUGGUUGCUCAUAAUAACCCUGGACUGUGUAAGUGGUGGAUACUGUAUACUCUGUGUAAUUGUUAUCAAUCUGGUCCACAGGCUCAUUUUUGGUUCCUGUACCUUAAAUUACUGUACC